AUGGCGCCGCUCGUGCCGUCGUCACAACCAUGGGUGGAGAAAUACCGGCCGAGGCAGGUGAAGGACGUCGCGCACCAGGAGGAGGUGGUCCGGGUGCUCACCAACACCCUCGAGACCGCCGACUUGCCGCACAUGCUGUUCUACGGUCCGCCUGGCACGGGGAAGACCACCACUGCGCUCGCCAUUGCCUAUCAGCUCUACGGUCCAGAGCUCUACAAGUCAAGAGUUUUGGAGCUUAAUGCCAGUGAUGAACGGGGAAUUAAUGUGGUGAGGACAAAGAUCAAGGAUUUUGCUGCUGUGGCUGUUGGUUCUGCACGGAAAGGUGGUUAUCCCUGCCCACCAUACAAGAUUAUUAUACUAGACGAAGCAGAUUCGAUGACAGAAGAUGCCCAGAAUGCAUUGAGGCGUACCAUGGAGACUUACUCCAAAGUGACAAGAUUCUUUUUCAUAUGCAAUUAUAUCAGCAGGAUAAUAGAGCCACUUGCAUCAAGAUGUGCAAAGUUUAGGUUCAAGCCUCUUUCAGAAGAUGUGAUGAGCAACCGCAUUUUGCAUAUAUGCAAUGAAGAAGGGCUCACUCUGGAUGCUCAGGCGCUAUCCACAUUAAGUGCCAUCUCCCAAGGAGAUCUUCGUCGUGCUAUAACUUAUCUUCAGAGUGCAGCUCGCUUAUUUGGAUCUUCUAUUUCUGCCAGCGACCUGAUUAGUGUUUCAGGGGCUAUCCCUGAAGAUAUUGUCAAGUCAUUGCUUGUAGCAUGCAAAUCUGGUGAAUUUGAUGUGGCAAACAAGGAAGUUAGCAAUAUUAUUGCAGACGGAUAUCCAGUUUCUCAGCUGCUCUCGCAGUUUCUAGAUGUGAUUGUUAAUGCGGAUGAUAUUCCAGAUGAGCACAAGGCAAGAAUAUGUAGAAAGCUUGGGGAAGCUGAUAAGUGCUUGGUCGAUGGGGCAGAUGAGUAUUUACAGCUCUUAGAUAUGGCUAGUGAGACAAUUCGUGCUCUGUUUAACAUCCCGCAAGGGCUGGUCUUCUAA
rnacentral:rRNA from 1 species